AUUGAACGCUGGCGGCAGGCCUAACACAUGCAAGUCGAACGAGUGGCGCACGGGUGUGUAAUGUCUGGGAAACUGCCUGAAGGCGGGGGAUAACUACUGGAAACGGUAGCUAAUACCGCAUACCAUUCGAUGUUCCCAGAUGGGAGUAGCUAGUUGGUGGGGUAACGGCUCACCAAGGCGACGAUCCCUAGCUGGUCUGAGAGGAUGACCAGCCACACUGGAACUGAGACACGGUCCAGACUCCUACGGGAGGCAGCAGUGGGGAAUAUUGCACAAUGGGCGCAAGCCUGAUGCAGCCAUGCCGCGUGUAUGAAGAAGGCCUUCGGGUUGUAAAGUACUUUCAGCGGGGAGGCGUUACCCGCAGAAGAAGCACCGGCUAACUCCGUGCCAGCAGCCGCGGUAAUUC
rnacentral:rRNA from 1 species